AGAUUAAUAGUUUAAAUAAAACUUUGGUCUUGUAAACCAAAAAUAGUCUCGCUUUAAUCUA
rnacentral:tRNA from 1 species